rnacentral:lncRNA from 1 species
UCCCGAAUUCCUGGCUACUAGCCUAACAACUUGACUACCCUUCGAACGUGCCCUCCUUUGAUUCUUUUCCAGAACUAUCUUCCACAGAGCCAGGUCUGGCUGGCCAUGACUCCAUCCCUGUGUUUUGGUAGGUGGCUAUAAGCUGGAGUGGGGCUUCCUAGGGGGGGACCCAACACCACUUCUGUGAGAGAUAAGCUAAACCUGUUAUCACUUGGGAAGCAAGGGGGAGGUAUUGGCAAUCUCCUGCAGUCACCUUUUAAGACAAACACAGCUGGAAAAGGUGUUUGAAGGCUUCUUUCCUUCCAGAUACGAAUUAUUCACCGUGGGGCUUUACUGAAUUCCUGAGGCUUUCACACCUCAGAACAGUGCCCGGGACAGGAAGCAGGCCUCCACCCAAGUCCCAGGCAGCAGAAGCAAUGGUUUCUCAUUUGUUCAGAGAACUAGUGCGCAUGCAGUGAAAAAAAAAAAAAAAAAAAAGGAAAAUCAAGGAGGGAAGGCAGUCUUCAAAGCCACAGUGAGAGAGCAAGACAGACGAAAAUGGUGACCCAAGAGAGGUAAAGCAGCAAGGUAGCAAGAAGUGGAAAGUCGAUAGGAAGACAAACAAUGUGUUUUUACUAAAGCUGUUAAUUCACUCUUCACAUCUCCCACUCAAGUCAUCAAUCACAACACAACCUAAAUAGAGCUGAGAGCACAGCUGCCUGCCUGCCACUGUAAAUGAACCUUCUGUGUAUGGAGCACGGCUCCGGCAAGCUGGCGUCACAAGAGGAAAAAACCUCAGCUACAAAAAUAAACAAAUCAGACAGGGCUGGUGGUAGAGGCAAAAGAAGAACAGAGGUGCAGAAAGAGGCAAGUUCUAACUCCCACCAUCAGACCUGCCUAACAAAUAUCCAUGGACCUAAGAUGCUUGCAGACUCAGAAAACCCAUGGUUUUGUCUCUGCUUCACUCUUCUUGUGGCAUGUUGCAGUUGUGGCUUCCUGCCUUUUACUAUAAGCCUUGCUUCAGUGAUAAAGUGACCAGCAUAUCUUCUGUGUUGUGUGGGGCACUGGGAGGCAUGGACAAAUGUUGGAUGGAGCCUUUGAGAUUGGACAUGCACUUUGGCACUGCCUAUAAUCAUGUUUUUUUGGAGCUGGUGUUGAAUUAAUCCCCUCCAGCCUUGCGUUUCUACUGUUUAAACUCACUUUUCAUUUCUAAGUCAGAGAACAUUUUCCUUUGUUCUGACAAUAUUUUUAUUAAAAAAAUAAAAUAAAAAAUAAA